rnacentral:snoRNA from 1 species
AUAUUGCAUGUUGCAUAUUUCAGCAGAUAGAUUUUCCAAAUGUACCCUGUACAUUCAGAUAUGGUU